rnacentral:lncRNA from 1 species
UGGGACAUGGGCACAACUGCACAGUUUUUACUUAUUUCUUUCUAAGACUUGAUCAUUUUAUUGCCUAUAUUUGAUUUUAUCUUAGUUACCUUUAUUUAUUAUUUCUAAAGAUCAUUUAUUUCUAAGGCUGUUCUCGUGGUGAGAACUUCAGACUCCACUUCUGACUGCAACAAAUAAUCCCAGAGCGGUGGCCGGCUUGGCCAGCUUUAGCUACCUUUAGAAGAUAAAAGCGAGAACAUAGCCCAUCAUUGCUCUGUGAUCACUAGAAUUAAAAACAAGGAUGAAGCCUGGGGUAUUUUUGUUGAUCCCCAGAGAUCGAGGAACAUUUCACUGUUUUUCACUCCAUAAAAAUUUUGGUGCAAGCAUCAUCUAGAUUGCCUCGAGGUUAUCGUGCACAGGAGGCCCCUUUUGGGGGACUUACUGGGCCUCCAGUGAAGGGAAUCAAACCGAUCAAAG